rnacentral:rRNA from 1 species
AGUGGGGAAUCUUGCACAAUGGAGGAAACUCUGAUGCAGCGAUGCCGCGUGAGUGAAGAAGGCCCUUGGGUUGUAAAGCUCUUUCGUCGGGGAAGAAAAUGACUGUACCCGAAUAAGAAGGUCCGGCUAACUUCGUGCCAGCAGCCGCGGUAAUACGAAGGGACCUAGCGUAGUUCGGAAUUACUGGGCUUAAAGAGUUCGUAGGUGGUUGAAAAAGUUGGUGGUGAAAUCCCAGAGCUUAACUCUGGAACUGCCAUCAAAACUUUUCAGCUAGAGUAUGAUAGAGGAAAGCAGAAUUUCUAGUGUAGAGGUGAAAUUCGUAGAUAUUAGAAAGAAUACCAAUUGCGAAGGCAGCUUUCUGGAUCAUUACUGACACUGAGGAACGAAAGCAUGGGUAGCGAAGAGGAUUAGAUACCCUCGUAGUCCAUGCCGUAAACGAUGUGUGUUAGACGUUGGAAAUUUAUUUUCAGUGUCGCAGCGAAAGCGAUAAACACACCGCCUGGGGAGUACGACCGCAAGGUUAAAACUCAAAUGAAUUGACGGGGACCCGCACAAGUAGUGGAGCAUGUGGUUUAAUUCGAAGAUACGCGCAGAACCUUACCAACACUUGACAUGUUCGUCGCGACUCUAAGAGAUUAGAGUUUUCGGUUCGGCCGGACGAAACACAGGUGCUGCAUGGCUGUCGUCAGCUCGUGUCGUGAGAUGUUGGGUUAAGUCCCGCAACGAGCGCAACCCUCACUUUUAGUUGCCAUCAUUAAGUUGGGCACUCUGAAAGAACUGCCAGUGAUAAGCUGGAGGAAGGUGGGGAUGACGUCAAGUCCUCAUGGCCCUUACGUGUUGGGCUACACACGUGCUACAAUGGUAUCUACAACAGGAAGCAAAACUGCGAAGUUAAGCAAAUCCCUAAAAGAUACCUCAGUUCGGAUUGCACUCUGCAACUCGAGUGCAUGAAGCUGGAAUUACUAGUAAUCGUGGAUCAGCGUGCCACGGUGAAUGCGU